ACGGGUCAGCAACAACACGGGUGGAAGUGAUAGCAGGAAGGGAGCCCCGGGGUUCCGGAGGGGGGAGCGAAAACCCACAUCCGCUGGGCCCCGGCCCCGCGCGGCUGGUACAGGCGGAGAGAUGGAGGCUCCAGCUCCCUUCCCCAAGAACAGCUCCAUCUUGGUACCACUUCCAGAGUCACGCAGCACGUCCGGGAGCACAGAAGCUUGGGUCAUAUCAUCUCACAGAGAAAGAAAAACUCCUACAGAGUUUCAAUGCAUCAGCAAGAAUCUACCUCAAUUUCAUCUACUGUGAAAAACUGUGGGGUCUCAUCCUGCCUGAAGGGCUAAAGAAGGAACAAGUUGUUAUAAACACAUCUGGGAAUCAUAGAAAAUGAGUAAUAGGAGAACCUUGGUGCCUCCACACUUGGAGAAGAGGAGGCUCUCGCCAGCUUUGUAUCAUGUCACAGGGAAUCCACACGACACUUCAAGGGGAAGGUUUAAAGACAAGUUUUAAGAGAAAGUCCCCUCUGAUAGAGACUGUGCAAAAUGUGUUCUAAGAGCUGGUUCCAUGGAAGACCCAGCUGCUUUUUUAUACAGAUUGUUCAGCCAGCAAAGCAUUGUAUAAGAGAAAGCACAGGAGGCCUUUGAAGUUGGUUGUGUUUCUUUGGGUGGCUUAGAUUUUUCUGGGUGACUGAUUUUCAUAUAUCCAUCUUCUGGUUCUAACUUGGCCUCCAUCAAGCCAGCGACUAAGGAUCUACCUCGUUGCUCAUUAACCAGAAGGAAUGCAUACAGGGCUUUUAGGUGCUUUCAAGAACUUUGCCAUUGUAACAGAGCUGAUUUAUGGUCCUGCUUUCACAGCUCCAACUUGGUUCAAUUUGCCCAAAGAAGCGGAGGUUGCUCUCUGUACAAUGCACUGAUUACUCAUGGGUCCCAAGUGAGACACAAAGGACAAGGAAAGCCGGCCACCACGAGGGCUGCUUCUUUCUCUCCCAACACAAGACUCUCAGAUAAAACAGGGAGAGCAAACCUGGGUUCUGUAGAGGCCGUCACCCCAAGAGAGUCUUUUUCUCUUCGUGCACAACUUUACCUAGGCUGCAGGCUGAAGACUGUGGACAGUCUGUGCAAAUGCAUUGCCUCUACCUGGAGGCAUUGCCAAAGGGAUUUAAGAAGACACAUGGGUGGCAAUACAGAAAUCCACACUCUAAGGCAACUGAGCAAAGCAAUCAACAGGAAGAGAGCACUUAGUUAUUACUAAUUCUCGGAGAAAUAAAGAGACACACGCUUCCCGCCAGCAGGAGGAAGGCACUUUUCACUUGCUCAUUAAUAUUCUCUUCUCCUACUGCUUGUUACCCAAAACCUCGUCUGUUAAAUUCCCUAAGUGCUAUUUGCAAAGGGAGAAACAAACAUGACGUACUUCUGAGAAGGGAGAGAAGCAAGUCUUCCCGCUAUAUAUAUAUAUAGGUUUCUCCUGGGUAAAAUCAAAAGUUCAAGCAUAGAAAUCAAGGGAGAAUCAGGUGUAAAAGACAUCCUGUAACUACGUGGCGGGCGCUAGGGGUUGGGGGUAUUGGCUGGGGUUGCAAAGCUGGGGUCUAUGCUAGACCCAUCUUGCUUCCUGCCGUGGCUUACUCUAUUUAUCCCAUAAUGGAAAAGGCUCUGGGAUCUUUCAAAGAUGUUUUAAGGAGUCUUGCUUACUCCUUUACUCCAAGGGAGCUGGGAAGACACACGCCUUCUGCUACUUACUACUGCUGUCUACCACUUACUAUGAUCACUGCCUUUUGCUCCAACUUCCUCUUGAAAAUCUACAUUUUAAACCUUUGCGUGUAUAUGUGCCACUUCCCAGCUUUAUUUAUGGACGUUAUUAGAAAUGGCCUCCUCCCCUCUUAUUUUUUAAAUGGUUGCUUUUAAUUCUUAAAAUUUGCUUGAUUAAAACAUUUUUUUUUUAAAGCACAGCAUCGAUCUCAACCUUGGACCCUGAAGGAAAAGCGAUUGCACACGCAGCACUAACUCUGCCACGACCACGACCGCUCCCUCCCCCAGCCCUCCGUCCCGUGGUGGCCAAUCAGGGACAGCGCCAGUUACUGCAGCCUUUACCUCCAGAUCCUAUCAUCUUAAAUGAGGAGACGACGAAGCCGCAACUUCCAGCGCUCCAAAUGGAAAAGCCUGCAGCCUUCCACCUCACCAGGGGCCAAUCCCAGACCACUGCAUCGCACACAAGGUUUGAUUAAGGAGUGAUGGGCUCUAAAAGCAGAUUGUAAAAAGAUACAGCAGUCAGUAGCUUGUAAUAACCUACAAUGAAAAGGAAUAUGAGAAAGAACACAUACAUAUGUGUAAUGGACUCACUAUGCUGGACACCGGAAGGGAACACAACAUUGUAAACCGAUUAUACUUCAAUUUAAAAUACUUUUUUAAAUGGAUGUGAAUAUAUGAUGAAUCAAAUGAAAAAAAAAAAAAAAAAAGGAGCUCUACGCAUGUAGCCCCCUGGCGAGCCAGGCCACAGCCCUCAUCCAAAUGAAACAAUGGCUCCGAGAGGAGUUUGGGUGGAAAAGCGAGUGAAUCAGGCUAAGAGGAGUGGAUUUAGCAACGUCAGAAGUUUGUGUCAGAAAAGGCACAAGAUAUUUUUAAGGACGCCUGCAUAGUGGAGAGACAUUCUUCCUCAGCUGUAUUUUCCUGCAACACUCCCCUGCUUUGAGUUUUUUAAACUUUCCUGAGCAGCAGGCAGAAGUUUCCCGGUAAAAUCUGUAAUUCAUUUGCCCUUUGUUGAAAAUGUUUUUUCUACAAAAGACUGAUCCCUUGUACUGUGUGUCCCUUAUUGACAUCUCCUCUCACUGCCUGUCUUUUAAGAAAUCGGUAACACAGUUGGCUGGGGAAGCCACGUCUACCCUGUUCUCCCAAGUCCUAGGUCUAGAGCGACCUCCUACGUAACAUACCUUGGAUGGGCUUGAACCGUGGCUGAAGCACCAGCGCCCUCAUUGUCCCUUACCUGAAUGUGAUAGCAGGUUGCCCAACAAGUAGAAAAGCCCCUCCUCCCCCAGUUCAUGCCACGCACACCAGCCACCUUUUCUUCUCUAACCCCCACCAGCACAGGCAGAAAAGCCCAGCUGCUUAAGCCAAGACCAGCAGUAUCCUGACUUUCAUCCCAAUUUGUGGUCUUUCUUUAUGAGCUUGAACAAGUUAAUUGACGUCUUUGGGUUCUGACUUCACUUCUCUGCAAAACGGAGUCUUUAGAUGUUUCAAUCACAGACUGAAACGAUUAUAAUGCAAAUAUAACACUUCCUUGUACACCAAGUUCAAACUUAGAAACGUGUGAGAAUUAUUUCUUUCUUCCCCAAACUGCCUGGCUCCAACCUGAGGCUCAGAAUGGACCUCCUUUUCCCUUCUUCCUUUCUGUCCUCAUCCUUUGAAGCUGGGAACAUUUCUAAAAGUUUUUACUAACUCCUGUCCUGAUGCCUAGCUUAUGACCACACCAGCCCUACCCCUGGCAUGGCCAUGGCGUGACUGUAAGAAACGGUUAUCUAAGCUAGACUCUUUAUCACAGAAAUCCUCUGCCUCCGUUUCCAGUUGUGUAAGGAAGUGUACAAUAACCCCAUUUGUGUGUGUGCACGCACAUGGAUACAGCCAUUUCUACACUGGUUCUGAAUUCCUUCGAAGAUUCUAGGCUUUGAAUUAUUUUAUAAUUUUCUAUUACUUGUGUCAUUUCAGAAGAGGAGCAGGAGUAAUGACAACAACACAAGUUGGGGGCGAGAUUGUAUGGAAGGUGAUACCAAUUACUGCAUAUCCAGAUCACAGCUCUGAAAAAGUGGCGGAGGACAGGAAUUAAGAUGAUGAAGCUUUUUAAGUCUCUUAAGUACAACUCUUUGAAACCCACUAUCUUUCAAAAACAUCGUAAUGAUCUUGCCAUCAUGACUUCAAACAGUCUUAAUGAAACCCGCAGAGAAAGGCAUGCAUAGCUUCUCAGUGGCGAGGGGAAGAGAUUCCUUUAGAAAAUUAAUAGAAAGUAGACAAGUCCUUACACGUAGCCAUCCUGUUGCUACCAUAAAUUAUCGCAUUGUUGAAGGCUUUUAUAAAAUUAGAUACCUUGGUAGCAAGAAAAAAAUGAAACCCUGUCUCAUUUAUCGGAAGGAUCAGUGGCAACUGAAAUAACUCUAUCCUGGGAGAGGAUUAAAUUUUAACCUUUCCAAAAAAAUGUCAUUGAAAUGAAAAAGCCCAUCUAACCUGGUGCUUCGUGCUGGAGCCUGAGCCUGCCUCGGAGAUGGGUGCCGGUGAUAGGCACUCUGCCUGCCUGUUCCUGCAGGUCUUGACGAGAUGAUGUCUCGCUUAUCCAUCUGCUUGUCUCAUAUCCAGGCUGGAUGACAGCUAAUAGCCAGCAGCUCAGAGCAGGGAGCAGCCUAGCUGGUCUGAACUAGUUGAAAACGACGCACGUAGCUUCCUUAUCACACAUUUUGAUAGGUUCACGGCUCCCCUUACAGAUACCUGGGGAAAAAUAUCUUUGGUAUAAUUUUAAAUGCUCAGCUCCCUCCUUAAGGAGCAUUAUCAACCAUCUCGAUCUAAUUAAGUUCCAAAGAAAACUUCAAUUCCAUUGCCCCCCCCACCCCUCCAGAUCCAAGAGCAUGGGGUAACUUUAGCUGGCUGGAAUUUGGUUUAUUUGCUGGUCUAGUCUGGACUAGAACUGUGCCUUCUGAAAUUUUUUUGAUGACUGUUAUUCCUUCUUCUUGCUCAAAGGAGCCUUUGCUUAAGCAGCUGCCUUUCACAUCCACGGUGCACAGUGUGUGCUUGACAGUACAGCUCACAUAACCAGCUGGAGACCGUACCAAGGACCUCUUCGUUAAUGAGUUUUCUCAUAAAGCAUCCAGGAAGACCUCUCCUGCUUCUCAUUGCUCUACAGGCAGAAGACUCAGCUAAAGGAGCCCCACGGCCGUGGGGCUUAGCGUCUUCUAACAGACGCGAAACAACCAUCUGGCCUGGCACAAGCAAGCAAGUUUCUGCUUCACAGACUCAUUCGUGCCAACUUGGGUGCCUUUUCUCUCCCCCCCACCCCCAGCCAUUGCCCCAAGGCCCACAUUCUCCCUCUGCAGCCGCUUCCUGAGCCCUCGGGAGGAAUGACAUGCCUGGACGGAGCAGGGGUGUGGGGAGAAAUGCUUCCCGCUGGGGCUUCGGGUGGUAGCAAGAUACCAGUGAUCAAAGAGAGAGCGGAUGCCUCGAUAUGUCAGAGUGGGAGCAACAGCACCAUGCUGAGAAUGAACUGGCCCCAGGGCAGAGGAGCAGGCUCUGCAGAUGCAUGCUCACUGAUGCCCUGGUCCACCAGCCCCUUCGGGUGGCGGGAGGGGGGGGUUAUGAGAAAAACCUGCAUUCCCUGAUUCAUGUGUGUGAACCGCCAGUGGAGCUGGAAAAAAAUGGCUGCACUGGACACAGGUUCCCUUUAAAAAUGGUUCCGUAUCCUUAAUUACAGUUUAAAGCACAAACAAAAGGAAGCAGUAAUAUCCUUGUCUGUUCCCUGAUGUCGAAUUUAUAAACACAUCAUCCUGAGCCAUUAACAGGUACGGCCAUGUGCUCUCGAAGAACAUCAAACUUUCUUCUUGAUCACCUCCAAGUUGACCUGAGAAAACUGUGAGAGUUUUGAAAUUUUUUACAGGUUUGAAAAGUGAGAGGAGACUUUUAACCCGCGUUUGUUAUUAUCGCCCAGCAGAGAGCUUCAAUGUUGGGGCUCCAGAAAGUACUGGAACUAGGCUGGGAGCUGGCUGUCACAGCACUGCUGAGUGGCCCUGGCAUGUUCCUUAGCCUUUCUCACCUGCAGGCUCCUUUUCUAUCCUUUUCUACCAAAUGCGGACGUUGUGUGGAUUAUGUGGAGGGCUUCGCACAGACUCCAUUGUUUACUAUUAUUAUCAGCUCUGCAGGCAUUAGGUUAAGGGUGACAUGAGGGCUCAGGGCAGAGAACAGACACGUUCACCACCAUCCCUCGGGUGCACUUGAAAUUUCACCUUUGAGGUUGGCAUUACUGUGAACUUUGAGGUUGGCAUUACUGUGAACUUCCUAAGUUAAGAGGAAACUGAGGUUCAGACAGCAAGGAGGGUUGGCCCAAGGUCGCAGUGCAAGUGAGGGGCUGAUGGGAGCUGUAGAGAAAGAUGCUGUUUGAUUUCUAGACCCCAGAACAGCAUCCCAGCUCAGGCAGAUCAGCAAAGAGGA